rnacentral:lncRNA from 1 species
GGAAGUUCAUUACACCUGCUCACUACAACGAUGUAGUGAAUGAACAUUCUAUUGUCAAACUCUGUGGUUAUCCUUUAUGUCACAAGAAGCUGGGAAUUAAAUAUAAAAUUUCAAAACCAAUAAAGUCUAUGAUAUUACUGAAAGAAAGUCUUUUUGCAGCAAUUUUUGUUAUGAAGCAUCUGAGUUUUUUGAAGCACAAAUUCCCAAAACUCCAGUACGGUGAGAGGCAUCCAGAUUUUCAACUGCUAAAGGAAGGGCAAAGUGGCCAUUCUGGAAAAGAAAUAGUUAUGCAGUAAAGCCAUUAAAACAUCAGAUAUCAACAAUCCUAGCCAGUUUGAAAAGCAAUAUGAAUCUUCUAGCAAUUGUUCUUCCAGCACUCAUAAUGACAGCAGCAGUGAUAAUGAGCAAGACUUUGUUUCCUCCAUUCUACCAGGAAACAGACCAAAUUCAACAAGUAUUAGACGACAGCUGCACCAAAAAAGCAUAAUGAAAAAGAAAGCUGGUCUCAAAGCUAAUGCCAAACACAAAGAACAGACAGUAGUGGAUGUCACUGAGCAGUUAGGCAAUUGCAAAUUAGAUACUCAGGAGAAAGCUGCCACAUGUGAACUUCCUUUACAGAAAGUAAAUACUCAAGAGUUCUUCAAAUAGUACUAUAGUACUAUUUCCUGAAAGAUUAUAGCUUCAGAAAAUUCUGAAAGUAAAUACAGUAGGUCAGAAAUAACUCUAAUAGGCAUAAGAAAAGUAUGGAGCAUUUUAACAGAAAAUUUGCCAAAUCAAACCAAGUUUCUAAGUCAGUGUCUAGUUCAGUGCAGGUGUGUCCUGAAGUGGCAAAUAGAAACUUACUUAAAGUUUUGAAGGAGACUUUGAUUGGGUGGAAGACAGAAGAAACUGAGGUUUUUGUAUGGCCAGAAUUAUGCUUCUGUGUGUCUGAAACCUGAAGCCUCUCUGGUUAAAAAACAUAAUCUCAGACCCAGAUAGUCAUUCCCCUGCCUGGAGGGAGUCUCAACAGCUUGGAAGAGUCUUUACCUUUUAGGUGCUCAGAUACAGCCAUUAAACCACUGAUGAGAACUUGGAAAAAGAAACUGAAAAGUUAAAUCUGAGGAUCAGGGAGUUUUAUAGAGGAUGAUACGUUUUGGAUGAAGAAACCACCAAAUCACAAGACUCAGAA